rnacentral:rRNA from 1 species
GGUGGCGAGUGGCGGACGGGUGAGUAAUAUAUCGGAACGUGCCCAGUAACGGGGGAUAACUACUCUAAAGAGUGGCUAAUACCGCAUACGCCCUACGGGGGAAAGGGGGGGAUUCUUCGGAACCUCUCACUAUUGGAGCGGCCGAUAUCGGAUUAACUAGUUGGUGGGGUAAAGGCUCACCAAGGCAACGAUCCGUACCUGGUUUGACAGGACGACCAGCCACACUGGGACUGACACACGGCCCAUACUCCUACGGGAGGCAGCAGUGGGGAAUUUUGGACAAUGGGGGAAACCCUGAUCCAGCCAUCCCGCGUGUAUGAUGAAGGCCUUCGGGUUGUAAAGUACUUUUGGCAGAGAAGAAAAGGUAUCUCCUAAUACGAGAUACUGCUGACGGUAUCUGCAGAAUAAGCACCGGCUAACUACGUGCCAUCACCCGCGGUAAUACGUAUGGUGCAAGCGUUAAUCGGAAUUACUGGGCGUAUAGCGUGUGUAUGCGGUUCGGAGAGAAAGAUGUGAAAUCCCAGGGCUCAACCUUGGAACUGCAUUUUUAACUGCCGAGCUAGAGUAUGUCAGAGGGGGGUAGAAUUCCACGUGUAACAAUGAAAUGCGUAGAUAUGUGGAGGAAUACCGAUGGCGAAUGCAGCCCCCUGGGAUAAUACUGACGCUCAGACACGAAAGCGUGCGGAGCAAACACGAUUAGAUACCCUGGUAGUCCACGCCCUA